UUGCAUUGAAAAUCGAAAACGAUAUUUAUUUUGUAACCAAAAGAAUUUUCUACAACGACACUUAAUAUGAAAUGAGAGAGUAGUUUGAUUCUGAGGUUUGUCUUUAUUGUCAACGUCAAAAUUUUCAAACCUUCUUCUAGAUGUCACUCUGAAUAUCCACCGCCUGUCAAUUGUUAUGGCAACCUCCAUUCUCCAACAAAAACGCAGUGAAGAAACUUCUAGAUGCCACUCUGAAUAUCACCGCCUAUUAAUUGUUAUGGCAACCUCCAUGCUCCA
rnacentral:lncRNA from 1 species